GACAGAGGAUGCAAGCGUUAUCCGGAAUGAUUGGGCGUAAAGCGCACGUAGGCGGCUUUGUAAGUUAGAGGUGAAAGCCCGGGGCUCAACCCCGGAAUUGCCUUUAAGACUGCAUCGCUUGAAUCCGGGAGAGGUGAGUGGAAUUCCGAGUGUAGAGGUGAAAUUCGUAGAUAUUCGGAAGAACACCAGUGGCGAAGGCGGCUCACUGGACCGGUAUUGACGCUGAGGUGCGAAAGCGUGGGGAGCAAACAGG
rnacentral:rRNA from 1 species